rnacentral:rRNA from 1 species
AGCCGCGGUAAUACGUAGGGGGCAAGCGUUAUCCGGAAUUAUUGGGCGUAAAGGGUGCGUAGGCGGGUUAUCAAGUCUUUGGUUAAAAUGCGGUGCUCAACGCCGUAGUGCCAAAGAAACUGAUAGUCUAGAGUAUGGUAGAAGUGAGUGGAACUCCAUGUGUAGCGGUAAAAUGCGUAAAUAUAUGGAAGAACACCAGUGGCGAAGGCGGCUCACUAGGCCAAUACUGACGCUGAGACACGAAAGCGUGGGGAGCAAACAGGAUUAGAUACCCUGGUAGUCCACGCCCUAAACGAUGAGUACUAAGUGUAGCCAGAAGGCUGUGCUGAAGUUAACGCAUUAAGUACUCCGCCUGAGUAGUACGUACGCAAGUAUGAAACUUAAAGGAAUUGACGGGAUCCCGCACAAGCGGUGGAGCAUGUUGUUUAAUUCGACGAUACGCGAAGAACCUUACCAGGUCUUGACAUACUCGGCAAAUCUAUAGAGAUAUAGAGGAGGUUAACCGGGAUACAGGUGGUGCAUGGUUGUCGUCAGCUCGUGUCGUGAGAUGUUAGGUUAAGUCCUGCAACGAGCGCAACCCUUAUUGCUAGUUACCAUCAUUAAGUUGGGGACUCUAGCGAGACUGCCGGUGAUAAACCGGAGGAAGGCGGGGAUGACGUCAAAUCAUCAUGCCCUUUAUGACCUGGGCUACAAACGUGCUACAAUGGCUGACACAAAGAGAAGCGAGCUCGCGAGAGUAAGCAAACCUCAGAAAAGCAGUCUCAGUUCGGAUUGAAGUCUGCAACUCGACUUCAUGAAGUUGGAAUCGCUAGUAAUCGCGAAGCAGAGUGUCGCGGUGAAUACGUUCCCGGGAUUUGUACACACCGCCCGUCAAACCAUGAGAGUUUGUAAUACCCGAAGCCGGUGGCCGAACCGCAAGGAAGGAGCCGUCUAAGGUAGGACAGAUGAUUGGGGUUAAGUCGUAACAAGGUAUCCCUACGAGAACG